rnacentral:lncRNA from 1 species
AAGUUGUGCAAUAGCAGGUCCUCUGAAUGUCUUUCCCCUUGUUCUCCGUGUUAUAGCUGUGUGUGUGCCACGUUCCACGGGAACACGGUUGGCUUUGGAGACCGAGGAAAGAAGAUAGAACUCUGUGAAGUCUGAACAUCUGUUAAGAGUCGUGAAUGGCUUCGGGGAUGAGCUCAUCAGCAGGUGAACUUCCUGUUCCGGGUGGGAGCUGUCAGUCAUGCCCACACAAUCCCCCUCAGGUUUCUAAGAGAAGCCUCUUCCUGCUCAAGACCCUCUUCACCUGCAGGUCUGUGUGUGCUGCCAUUUUGGUUCACCGUGCACCAGUACAGUGGGAGAAGGCAUUUAACAUUUACUAAUCAGGUAUUUGGCUUCUUCGGUGGCUCAGUGGCAAAGAAUCUGCCUGCAAGUGUAGAAGAUGUGGAUUCAAUCCCUGAUCCAGGAAGAUCCUCUGGAGAAGAAAAUGGCAACCCACUCCAGUGUUCUUGCCUGGAGAAUCCCAUAAAACAGAGGGGCCUGGCGGGCUAUAGUCCAUGGGGUCGCAAGGAGUCAGACACGACUUAACAACUGAAUAACAACAAUCAGAUAUUUGGGCUGAAUAUUGAUGUGUGUGGUGGGCUGUGCAGGGAGUUAAGAAUAUCUAAAAUUAGGCAGUUCAGUUCAGUCACUCAGUCAU